CCCUUAGAUGUUCGGGGCCGCACGCGCGCUACGCUGAAGGAAUCAGCACGUCUUUCUCCUUGUCCGAAAGGACUGGGUAACCCGCUGAACCUCCUUCGUGCUAGGGAUUGGGGCUUGUAAUUCUUCCCCAUGAACGAGGAAUUCCCAGUAAGCGCGAGUCAUAAGCUCGCGUUGAUUACGUCCCUGCCCUUUGUACACACCGCCCGUCGCUACUACCGAUUGGAUGGUUUAGUGAGAUCCUCGGAUUGGUCCCGGAGCGGCCUCUGGUCGUGCCGGAGUGCCGAAAAGAAUGUCGAACUUGAUCAUCUAGAGGAAGUAAAAGUCGUAACA
rnacentral:rRNA from 1 species